UUCUUCACAAAACUGCUUGGUAGUGGCACUAAAUAUAUACUGAGCAAAGAAAGCAAGGAAAGUUUUUUUUAUUUGAUUAAAGCCGACCAUUUCAGUGCUGCUAUAUCAGAUUCUCAACAAACCAUGUUAAACCUUGUUAACACUUGACUGUCAUCUUGGAACACCAUUUUGACUCAUCUGAACAUAUGAUGAUUAGGCACACCUGCAUCAUAUCUGGUGGGUCUCCAACUCUAGAAAAGUACCAUCUUACACCGUUUCUGUUUAUGCUCUAAACCAGACAACUUCUGAAGACAUUAGACUCUGGCACAAGUCUGCAAAUCCUGCAAACUAUGAAUGGAUGGAAAAUUAAAGCAAAUGACAAGACUGUAAGGUUAUUCUGAACAGCACAAAUAUAUACAGAAGGUCAGUCAUGCACAAACAACAGAAGCUGAAAACUAUAGCAAGAUGGAGGGUGAACGAGAGAAGUAUUUGACGUGAGCCUUAGAAGGAGAUGGCUGGCAAAUGGGAAAAGGUUCAGUGAUAUGAUGUAUAACAUUAUUUGUAUUGCCCUAUGGGGAAGGAGACAAAGGAAGGGAGACAUAUUGUCACUGAAUAUACUGGUUGUUAUGAAAUGCCUGAUAUGCUGAAUUAAUAGAUGAAUGUAUAAUACAUUUUCUUAUAUGUGAAGUUGUGAAGUAUUGAUUUUUUUUUGUAUAGGGUAUUAGUGAACUAAAAAAAACACCAGCAAAAGAUUCUCUGUCAAGUGUGCAGUGCUGUGUUUGCAAGUAACAAAACUGUUACUAACUGUUGAACCAAAAAAAUCUCUGUAAUCAUUGUAAUCACUGUAUAACUGUUUUGUUCAUUUCCUCAAGAUGUAUAUAAACUUUUCUGCACUGAAAAAAGAAAGCAAGCAAUUUAGAAAGUGGUCUGAAAAAAUAACAAACUCUAUUCACUAUUCAACACUCCAGGUAGAUAUUUUAAUGUAAAGGGAGAUCCCAAAUUGUCUAUCACAAGAAGUAAAACAUAUUGGCCACUAUUUUCCACUUAAACAAAUGGACCAUUAUACAACCCACUUGAAAUCCAUCCAUCCAUAACAACUUUUCCCAUCUUUGCACAUGGGGUCAGGGUGUUUGUUCAACAAUGACAAUCAUCUUGAGCCAAGGUUCACACCACUGGGUUAUUAGCCCCACCGCAGACAACUCACAUCUGGCUUUGAGAAAUGAGCUGUUGUUCUGAAUCUCUGGUGACAAAAAAGCAAUACACACAUUUCUGUUGCUUUACUGCAUUUCCACUCCUGCACAGACAAACUAAAUAUCCUGUAUUAGCAGAUUAGCAAACUAGAGAUCCUAGAUCAUCAGUAACUGACACAAAAUGUUACCGAACUCAGCUACAAUCACAGUUCUUAUCUUACAUACAGUGAAAUAUACCAAAUGUAUGACUCCAUGUGUGAAUGUGAUAAUAAGCAACAUAAAACAGGUAAUCUCAGUAAAACUAAUACACAGCUUUUGGACAUUUUUAUCAUAUCCCAUAAAACAUACAGUUGAUUUUCUAGUAUAUAGCCAAGAUGUCGACAUUAAAUUAAUUGUGAUUAAUGGAAUAUGUUGCUGGACAGAUUUUAAGGAAGACAGCAUGACUUUUUUCCUUGGACAGACUCACCAAGCAAUAUCAUAUAAUUAAAGAAAACUGACUAAAAUUACAGCAAGUAUCACAACCUAAUAGAAAUACACCACGCUAUACCUAUAGGAUGUCCAACCAUAAUACAAAGUAUUAUUCUUAUAAUUAGUGCCAGAUGUGCAACAGGUAGCACACUUGCCUAUGGUGCUAAAAAAAACAGAAGACAGUGGGUUCCAUUCCCACUCCAGAUGAUGUAAUCACUGACACUUUAAUGCAUCAUUAGGGGAUAUUUCACUCCUGAAUGUGUCAUCCAUUGGAUGAGAUGUUACACCUAAGUUCAAUCUACUUGAGUUGGUGAUAACUCAGGAGAAUUUAAAUGAUCCCACAACACCAAAAAGAGUAGGAGUCCUUUAUUUAACACACUUAUUUACAACAAUCAUGCAAUAUUUACAAUAUUUACACUAUGUACAUUAUUCAUAAUGUCUAAGCACUCCACCUUUCUACUUAUACAUUCUAUUAGACCCUCACUCCAUUUUCCAUAACCAAAAUGUUAUAUUUUCCAAUAUUUUUGCCAAAUCUCAUCUUUCAUUAAACAUUAUUUCCUUUACCCUUUGGUUCUAUAGAACCCAUAGAACUGCAAACAUAGUAUCUGUUUCACAUACAUAC